rnacentral:rRNA from 1 species
GACGAACGCUGGCGGCGUGCUUAACACAUGCAAGUCGAACGGAAAGGCCCUGCUUUUGUGGGGUGCUCGAGUGGCGAACGGGUGAGUAACACGUGAGUAACCUGCCCUUGACUUUGGGAUAACUUCAGGAAACUGGGGCUAAUACCGGAUAGGAGCUCCUGCUGCAUGGUGGGGGUUGGAAAGUUUCGGCGGUUGGGGAUGGACUCGCGGCUUAUCAGCUUGUUGGUGGGGUAGUGGCUUACCAAGGCUUUGACGGGUAGCCGGCCUGAGAGGGUGACCGGCCACACUGGGACUGAGCUACGGCACAGACUCCUACGGGAGGCAGCAGUGGGGAAUAGUGCACAAUGGGCGGAAGCCUAAUGCAGCAACGCAGCGCGCGGGAUGACGGCAUUCGGGUUGUAAACCGCUUUCGCCUGUGACGAAGCGUGAGUGACGGUAAUGGGUAAAGAAGCACCGGCUAACUACGUG